rnacentral:rRNA from 1 species
CCUACGGGAGACAGCAGUGAGGAAUAUUGGUCAAUGGGCGAGAGCCUGAACCAGCCAAGUCGCGUGAGGGAGUACUGCCCUAUGGGUUGUAAACCUCUUUUGUCGGGGAGCAAAAGCCGGACGUGUCCGGCUGUGAGAGUACCCGAAGAAAAAGCAUCGGCUAACUCCGUGCCAGCAGCCGCGGUAAUACGGAGGAUGCGAGCGUUAUCCGGAUUUAUUGGGGUUAAAGGGUGCGCAGGCGGAUUUUUAAGUCAGCGGUCAAAUCGUGGGGCUCAACCCCAUCCAGCCGUUGAAACUGGGGAUCUAGAGUGUGCGAGAGGUAUGCGGAAUGCGUGGUGUAGCGGUGAAAUGCAUAGAUAUCACGCAGAACCCCGAUUGCGAAGGCAGCAUACCGGUGCACAACUGACGCUCAGGCACGAAAGCGUGGGUAUCGAACAGGAUUAGAUACCCUGGUAGUC